rnacentral:rRNA from 1 species
UUACAUGCAAGUCGAGCGGACAGAUGGGAGCUUGCUCCCUGAUGUUAGCGGCGGACGGGUGAGUAACACGUGGGUAACCUGCCUGUAAGACUGGGAUAACUCCGGGAAACCGGGGCUAAUACCGGAUGGUUUUUGAACCGCAUGGUUCAAACAUAAAAGGUGGCUUCGGCUACCACUUACAGAUGGACCCGCGGCGCAUUAGCUAGUUGGUGAGGUAACGGCUCACCAAGGCAACGAUGCGUAGCCGACCUGAGAGGGUGAUCGGCCACACUGGGACUGAGACACGGCCCAGACUCCUACGGGAGGCAGCAGUAGGAAUCUUCCGCAAUGGACGAAAGUCUGACGGAGCAACGCCGCGUGAGUGAUGAAGGUUUUCGGAUCGUAAAGCUCUGUUGUUAGGGAAGAACAAGUACCGUUCGAAUAGGGCGGUACCUUGACGGUACCUAACCAGAAAGCCACGGCUAACUACGUGCCAGCAGCCGCGGUAAUACGUAGGUGGCAAGCGUUGUCCGGAAUUAUUGGGCGUAAAGGGCUCGCAGGCGGUUUCUUAAGUCUGAUGUGAAAGCCCCCGGCUCAACCGGGGAGGGUCAUUGGAAACUGGGGAACUUGAGUGCAGAAGAGGAGAGUGGAAUUCCACGUGUAGC